UACGAAGGACCCGAGCGUUAUCCGGAUUUAUUGGGUUUAAAGGGUGCGCAGGCGGACUAAUAAGUCAGUGGUGAAAGCCUGAUGCUUAACAUCAGAACUGCCAUUGAUACUGCUAGUCUUGAGUACGGUUGAGGUGGGCGGAAUGUGUCAUGUAGCGGUGAAAUGCUUAGAUAUGACACAGAACACCAAUUGCGAAGGCAGCUCGCUAAACCGUAACUGACGCUGAGGCACGAAAGCGUGGGGAGCAAACAGG
rnacentral:rRNA from 1 species